rnacentral:rRNA from 1 species
AGACCCGAAACCCGGUGAUCUAGCCAUGGGCAGGUUGAAGGUUGGGUAACACUAACUGGAGGACCGAACCGACUAAUGUUGAAAAAUUAGCGGAUGACCUGUGGCUGGGGGUGAAAGGCCAAUCAAACCGGGAGAUAGCUGGUUCUCCCCGAAAGCUAUUUAGGUAGCGCCUCGUGAAUUCAUCUCCGGGGGUAGAGCACUGUUUCGGCUAGGGGGCCAUCCCGGCUUACCAACCCGAUGCAAACUGCGAAUACCGGAGAAUGUUAUCACGGGAGACACACGGCGGGUGCUAACGUCCGUCGUGAAGAGGGAAACAACCCAGACCGCCAGCUAAGGUCCCAAAGUCAUGGUUAAGUGGGAAACGAUGUGGGAAGGCCCAGACAGCCAGGAUGUUGGCUUAGAAGCAGCCAUCAUUUAAAGAAAGCGUAAUAGCUCACUGGUCGAGUCGGCCUGCGCGGAAGAUGUAACGGGGCUAAACCAUGCACCGAAGCUGCGGCAGCGACACUGUGUGUUGUUGGGUAGGGGAGCGUUCUGUAAGCCUGUGAAGGUGGCCUGUGAGGGUUGCUGGAGGUAUCAGAAGUGCGAAUGCUGACAUAAGUAACGAUAAAGCGGGUGAAAAGCCCGCUCGCCGGAAGACCAAGGGUUCCUGUCCAACGUUAAUCGGGGCAGGGUGAGUCGACCCCUAAGGCGAGGCCGAAAGGCGUAGUCGAUGGGAAACGGGUUAAUAUUCCCGUACUUGGUGUUACUGCGAAGGGGGGACGGAGAAGGCUAUGUUGGCCGGGCGACG